rnacentral:rRNA from 1 species
GAUGAACGCUGGCGGCGUGCUUAACACAUGCAAGUCGAACGGUGAACACGGAGCUUGCUCUGUGGGAUCAGUGGCGAACGGGUGAGUAACACGUGAGCAACCUGCCCCUGACUCUGGGAUAAGCGCUGGAAACGGCGUCUAAUACUGGAUACGAGUAGCGGCCGCAUGGUCAGUUACUGGAAAGAUUUUUUGGUUGGGGAUGGGCUCGCGGCCUAUCAGCUUGUUGGUGAGGUAAUGGCUCACCAAGGCGUCGACGGGUAGCCGGCCUGAGAGGGUGACCGGCCACACUGGGACUGAGACACGGCCCAGACUCCUACGGGAGGCAGCAGUGGGGAAUAUUGCACAAUGGGCGAAAGCCUGAUGCAGCAACGCCGCGUGAGGGAUGACGGCCUUCGGGUUGUAAACCUCUUUCAGCAGGGACGAAGCGCAAGUGACGGUACCUGCAGAAGAAGCACCGGCCAACUACGUGCCAGCCGCCGCCGUAAUAC